rnacentral:rRNA from 1 species
UGUGUAGGCGGCUCUCUAAGCUUGGUGUGAAAUCUUCCGGCUCAACCGGGAGGGUGCGCCGAAAACUGGGGGGCUAGAGUGCGGGAUGGGAGAGUAGAAUUCCUGGUGUAGCGGUGAAAUGCGUAGAUAUCAGGAGGAAUACCGGUGGUGUAGACGGCUCUCUGGACCGCAACUGACGCUGAGACACGAAAGCGUGGGUAGCAAACAGGAUUAGAUACCCUGGUAGUCCACGCCCUAAACGAUGCAUAUUUGGUGUAGGUCAUUCAGUUGAUCUGUGCCGGAGCUAACGCGUUAAAUAUGCCGCCUGGGGAGUACAGUCGCAAGGCUGAA